CAUAACGUGCAAUUUCAAAUUUCUUUUGAAGAUAUCUUCCUAUUCGUUCUUAUCAACACCAAUCACCAUUUUUCCAAUUCGUUUUGCAGAUUAUCAACAGUAAAUUCAGCAAUCCAUGACACAUUCUAGUGAACAGAAUAUUGUUUCAUCGAAUUGCCUAAUCGAUCAGACCGUUCAACCACCGGGAGAUCAACAUCAAGAUACGAACGAUCAGAUUGUUGUUUCACCCACACGCUCCUCGUAGGUAUAUUUACAAACAUUUCUUGGAUGACUUGUUCAUAAAAAGUUUUAUCAUAUAAGGCUAUAAACACAGUGCUGCUGUGAGCAUGUCACAAGAACAAAAAUAUCAAAGGCAGUGAUGAGAGGAACGUAGAGUUGAAGCAAAAAAAUCACAAACUUCUAUAGAACAUUUUCAUAGAACCUGAAAGGUUUACGCAUGUGUAUUGUUAACACAUUCCUUACUUUACACAUGUGUGUUGUUAACAUUUUUAUUUUACACAUUUGUACAUCAUGAAACCAAGUAAUAACUUGU